rnacentral:rRNA from 1 species
AUUGAACGCUGGCGGCCGGCCUAACACAUGCAAGUCGAACGAGUGGCGGACGGGUGCGUAAUGUCUGGGGAACUGCCUGAUGGAGGGGGAUAACUACUGGAAACGGUAGCUAAUAACGCAUACCAUCCGAUGUACCCAGAUGGGAUUAGCUUGGCGGUGGGGUAACGGCUCACCAAGGCGACGAUCCCUAGCUGGUUUGAGAGGAUGAACAGCCACACUGGAACUGAGACACGGUCCAGACUCCUACGGGAGGCAGCAGUGGGGAAUAUUGCACAAUGGGCGCAAGCCUGAUGCAGCCAGGCCGCGUGUAUGAAGAAGGCCUUCGGGUUGUAAAGUACUUUCAGCGAGGAGGCGUUACCCGCAGAAGAAGCACCGGCUAACUCCGUGCCAGCAGCCGCGGUAAUAC